CUGAACAAACACAAGAAGAGCCAGAGCUGAGCAGAGAAACAGCUCCAGUGGAACAUUCCACUAUAGAGGAAAACAAUAUGCCAGAUUUCACCUGCAUGUUCAAGCAGAGAGAAGACCAUCAGGAUCAUGAAUGGUGCUCUAGCAGUGACCUCUACCUCACUGAAAGUGACAGUGAUGAAGAUCCCCUGCCCUCGUCUGACCAUCAGUCCAUGGACACACCAAACACUUUUGAAGAGAAUCCCUGGUUUCCUCCUCACAGGUCAGAGAAUGUUGGAGGAAUGGCCAGGGCCUCUGAAACUGACCCCCAACCCAGGAUGAAGACCCAGCAAAGCAAUGUAAAAGGGAAAAGCAGGAACUCUUUCUUUCAGUGGGUCUUUCAUUCGGCACUACGAGCUCUCCUGAUGAUCUUCACUCUGUGCUACAGCUCCUCACAGCCUCACAGAGGUGAAGCUGAUAGUGAUGAAGUUUGGAGCAGAGAAGAAUCCAACAGGAACCACAGCCCCGGGUAGAGAGAGACAGAGACAGAGACAGAGAGAGAGAGAGAGAACAGGGGAGAAGCAUUAUUCCUCCCUCACCCUCGAGUGCUCACAGUGGUGAUUAAACUGAGAGGAUUCACAGUUUAAUAGACAGAAUGCUGUGAUGUGAGGGAGAACAGAAGAGCUGGUUCUGUUUCCACGUGGAUCUGCUAAGAGAAACUUCUUUAAAACGUGUGGAGCUUCAGAAGCUUUUCAUUCAUUUCCUAUAUAAUCACAGAACUGAUAUACAUGUAAAUCUCCUGUACUGGAGGACUUUGCUUUUCUGGUGGACGUUAAAAUUAUUUUUCCAUCAAAUAUUAAAAUCAGUCACUCAUACCAGCAGUCAGACUGGUCUACCAGUAACCAGUGAGUGAUGCUCAGUGUUGAAGAAUUUGAUGCUUAUUGAUGUCCUACACCAUCUACCAUCUUUAGCAGACCCUCAGUCCCAUAGCAAACAGAUUAGUUUGUGAAAUUCUGACAUUAAUGCGAAGUUUUCACAAAAACUACAAACUGCAACAAAUAAAUUUAGAACAAGAAUCUUCCUCAACGUGGAGAAAAAUGAUACAGUUGGAGGUAUAAGAAGCGAGUGUGGAUGAAAAGUCUACAGUAAAGUACAGUUGGAGAUAUAAGAAGUGGGUGUGGAGGGAAAGUCUACAGUAAAAUACAGUUGGGGGCA
ensembl:lncRNA